GCCUGGGUGGCUCAGUCGGUUAAGCGUCUGACUUCAGCUCAGGUCAUGAUAUCGCGAUUUGUGGGUUCGAGCCCCGCGUCGGGCU
rnacentral:tRNA from 1 species